UCCACAUCUGGUUAUGUGGACUUCUUCGCUUCUUCUGCCUGGUGAAUCGUUCUUGCAAAACCGUUGUGGGAGCUUGAGUUUGCGGUCUCCGAUGUCGGCAACCGUUGGGUGAGGGUGGUGAUAGAUAUUGGUAGGACGCUCUCAUAUAACAGCAAGGAGUGCUUCUGGAGCAGAACCUGCGGUCUCAUUAGUGGCCCCCGGGAAGGCACACAAAUGUUUUAACGAACAAAGUCUUUGGUUCAAAGGUAAUUAUGGCUCAAUAGUGCAUUCACCCUAAUAUUCUGCCUUCCCGUAUGAUUAGUUUUCUGCAUUUUUCUGGUACAAUUAUCUUUUUCCAAUGUCUUGCUUCAUUUUUUUAUGAGACUAUCUAAGUUCAUCUAUCAUAUAGGAAGAAUAGAAUAAGGUGUGUUUUGCUUGGAUAUUGUGCUGUGAAGCUAUAGGUUGAACAUCAGCCUUACAUUUACUUGCAAAAACUGGUAUGGUGAUUCAGUUUGCUUUGGUGAAGAGAGAUCAAGGUUAACUCUUUUUCUGCUCUCAUAUCAGCAUUUUCAUAUUUGUUGUUUUCCUUCUUGAUAUUCAUCUAGUGUUGUUUAAUAUCAUAGAAGGUUUAAUUGGUAUUGUAUGAUGGAUGCUAUUUUGUUUUGUGGAGGCUUGAUGUUAAUUGUCACGAAGAGUAUAUACAAUUUAAUUUGUUAAUAUCUGCAAUUUUAACAGUG